UGAUGGGCUAGGCUAUCUCUUCACUAUCUCUUCACAGUGGAUGUCUCCACAACUCUCUCCCAUCUGAGUGGCCUCUGACUCACACUGACUGUCCCCUCCCAGAUGAAGUGUGAAUUAAAUUUUCCAGCCCUGUUGCAUCCUCCCCACUGAAUGAAAUGAAGGAUCUCCCGCUGGUCUGUCCAAGUGAAAACAAUGACCUCAAUAGAGGGUAAGUCCUGGCCUUCUGGACGCCAGACUACCUCCUCCCUGAGGGAGGAACGCGGACGGCAGCAGGAAAGGACAUGGUCACCCUUCACCCUGAAAACUCACACACCAGAGUCCAUCCCCCUAAGGUGAUCUGUGCAGAUUUCGUUGUUUUGUUUUUGAAACGCGGGACGGGGAUUUCAUUCUCCUUCCAAGACCCCUUUCUUCCUGGACGCGUAGCAUCCCUCCUUCUUCUGGCCCCUUCCUGCCUGAGCAACUGAGCAGAGCUCUCUCUUCUCAAGCCCUAGCCAUUGCGUCUUGUGAGGAGGGCAAUGCUGCCCCCUGCUGGCUCCAGGAUGAGAAACAGCCCUCAGGGGCAACCAGGUUCCGUCUGUUUCCCUGUAGGUAGGAUCUGAACGAGCCUUGUUCCCUUUUCCAAAACAGCUUCUGGCCUGUCUGGACUUGGUUAUCUGGAUAGAAGGCUGGAGAAUCGUCAUCCCUUUUCCCAACCGUUGGGAACUUUAUUUGACCUUCAAUGUUGUUUUCAUCCGCAUGACUACAGAGUCUGUGCAGGUGAGAUUGGGGACAUUGGCCCCUAAAAGAAGAGUUCACCUGGUGACUUUUAAUUUUCUUUUUUUUGUUGUUUUUUGGUUUUUUGUUUUUUGUUUUUUUUGUUUUGUUUUUGUUUUUUUUGGUUUUUUUCAAGACAGGGUUUCUCUGUGUAGCCUUGGCUGUCCUGGCACUCACUUUGUCACUUUGUAGACCAGGCUGGCCUCGAACUCAGAAAUCCGCCUGCCUCUGCCUCCCGAGUGCUGGGAUCAAAGGCGUGCGCCACCACGCCCGGCUGUGACUUUUAAUUUUCAUUGCGCGGAAUGUUCUUUAUUCCUAAUGGUCUGGAUACUUUUGGUAAUUCUGGUUUCUAUGAUCACACUGGGGUCUCCUUCAGAGGAAAUCCCCAAACUCUUUGCAAGCCCACUCACUGUCAGAAGGGAGGAAGGGGGAGAGAGAGAGAAAGAGAAAGGGAAGGAGAGGGGAGGUGUAUAAUGAGGCAAAAGGGGGUGAGUGUGUAGAUGUCUGUUCUAGUGAUCAGUAACUGUCAGCACAGACUAGAAUCACCUGAAAGUGAUUAAUUGAGGGAUUGUCUUUAUCCCGCUGGUCUGUGAACACAUCUGGGGGGGAUUGUAUUGUCUGUCUUCAUUGAUGUGCUAGGGCCUAACUGCUGUGACUGGCACCAUUUCCUGGGCAAGUGGUCCUGGACUGGAUAAGAAAUGUAUUAAGCAUGAGCCUAUGAGUGAGCCAGCAAAAAACAUUCCUCCAUCACUGCUACUCCCUUGAGUGUCCCUGACUUCCCUCAGUGACAGAUUGUGACCUAGAAGUGGGAGCCAAACAAGCCCUUUCUUCUCCAAGGUGCCUUUGGUCUUGGCAUUUUAUGCCAGCCGUAGGAAGCCGAGCUAACGACGACAAUAUCAGAUUAGAACCUUCAGGGGAAGUCUCCCCUUCCACUGAGUCUUUCAGGGAUCAAACCCGGCUCGUCGAGAGUUGUUAAGUGUGGAGGCUCCCACCGGCCCUGGACAUCCUCUUUGUCGCAUUUGGCUGCAUUAUACAGGUGUGAUGGUUUGAAUAGUCAUGGCCCAAUAGAGUCAUGUGCUUGUAUGUUUGGCCCAUAGGGACUGGCCCUAUGAGAAGGUGUGGCCUUGUUGGAGUAGGUGUGGCCUUGUUGGAGUAGGUGUGUCUUGUUGGAGUAGGUGUGGCCUUGCUGGAGUAGGUGUGGCCUUGUUGGAGGAAGUGGGCUUUGAGGCCAUAUAUGCUCAAAUCAUGCUCAGUGUGAUACAAUCUCCUUCUGCUGCCCGUGGAUCAAGAUGUAGAACUCUCGGCUCCUCCAGCUCCAUGUCUGCCUGAACACUGCCAUGCAUCCCACAGUGAUGAUACUGAACUGAACCUCUAAAACUGCAAGCCAGCCCCAAUUAACUACUUUUAUUUUAAGAGUUGCCUUGGGGCUGGUGAGGUGGCUCAGCGGUUAAGAGCAUAGGCUGCUCUUCCAGAGGUCCUGAGUUCAAUUCCCAGCAACCACAUGGUGACUCACAACCAUCUGUAAUGGGAUCUGACGCCCUCUUCAUGCAGGGGGAUGUAUAUGCAGCAGAGCACACAUACAUUAAAUAAAUAAAGUUUAAAAAAAAAAGAAAAAAGAUUCGCCUUGGUCAUGGUGUCUCUUUACAGCAAUGGAACCCAAACUAAGACAACAGGUGAAAAAUUGAUACCCAAGAAAGAACAGCACUCAAUCUGAUGUCCCAUGACUCCCAUGACUAGUGAUGUCUCAAGGGCUAGCCAAGAGCUCCGAGCUCAGAACAGUGGUCUGCUAAGAAAAAGUCAUAUUUAUUGUUAUUUGGGUUUUUAAAAAUUUUUAUCUUUUAAAGACAGAUCGCAUGGAACUCAGGCUGGCCUUGAAUUUGCCAAGAAAGAUGUUGAAUUUUAAUUUAAUUUAAUUUUUUGGUUAGGGGAGGGGAUUUGGUUUGAGGCAGG
rnacentral:lncRNA from 1 species